CACAAACGGCCGGUGUAGCGUAAAAGAUGCAAGACCCGUAAAAUAUGCAAGUUCCGGUUCCGGUCAUGUGAAUUUUACGUUAGGCUCUGUAAAAAGGGCAAGACCCGUAAAAAGUGCAAGUCUUAUAUUGUUUUGCAAUGACUUUGGUAUUUAAUUGGAGAAAAACAUCACUAAUAAAGAGUGUGAAUGGGUCGACGUUCGUUUCUUCAAGAUUGGGCAAAAAAACAUUACCAUGCGGUUUGCAGUGCGCAGGCUACUGUCCCCCUUCAAGAGCACCCAGGUCAUACAAGCUGAACACGGUUGACCUGCACACCUAACAGUGGAAAUAAUGAAACAAGUGAUCACACAUCCACCCACUUUCUGCCCGGAACAACAGUUACAGUUACACUCUGAGAUAAGAACUGAACAGUCAAAACCGCAUAGCAGAUAUUUUUGACCUAAUCAAACACUGUUAGCCUUCUGUGCAAGGUCAUGAGGUGAAACCUGGAUGUAAGAAACAUUUUUAUCACAUGUUACGUUGGCAGUUCCUGUAAUUAUACUUGAACGGUUCAGAACAUACGUGUACAAAUAUGUCCAGCAAAAGACAUUUUAUGACAGACUUCAUUAUACUACAUAAUUGGAAUCAAAUUGCUUUCAGUAAAAAAAAUAUUGACAAUAGAAUAUUUAACCAUUUAGGUUUCGUAUCCAUAACUGCACACAGCUACUGUGAGAGUCUCGACUCUCUGGGUAAGCAUUAUUAUAUAUAGUGUAUCAAAUGAUGAAGUAUUGUGUCAAAUACUUGUUUAUUAAUGUAGGCUUAAUUGAAUAGUGAUGAAAAAAUGACAAUAAAACUUGAAUUAUAUAUAAAUUUAUAUGUAACUCCAUGCUGUUUUAAUACCUUUUCAAACAUCCAGUGGUCCAGGGUCCCAUUUUCCCACAAUACUGUAUGUAGUAUGCCAUAAACUGGGUUAACUAACCAAUGUCAUCACUAUAAGUAUUACAACUAUGAUUAGAAUCUUUGAGAAAUAAAGUUUUACAAGUGAACACUAUAAUUUCCUCUGCAGUUACAUAUUCAUUAUAUUUGGAGGGUCACCAAUUACAGUCCAAAUGUAACUUUAGUUCACCAAACCAAGUGUGCAGGUUGUUAUAUUAAAUAAUACAUGCAAUAAAUGUUAUCACUGUCCUACAUCUUCAUCUCAUGUAUCUCAUAUAUUUACUUUUCUCAGAUUCUACCACCUCUUUUUCAUACCAAUUUGUGUAUAUUUAAUGCCCAAUGUUAUGGUGAUAUGUACAUGGUCGCAAUCUAGGAGUGUAGGACAUUAGCCCUUUGGGACAUUAGCCCCUAGGACAUUAGCCCCUUUGGACAUUAGCCCCUAGGACAUUUGCCCCUUAGGACAAUAGCCCCUAUCUAUUUUUACAUUCAUUUUUUAGGUAAUUUCACCUUUUUUUAAUUAGUGGAAUUAAUGUUGUUGUUUUUUUUAAACAGCAACAACAACACGUUAUGUUACUUAUGUAUCUAAUUAUAAGGUAAUUUUAGACUUCUGGAUGGUGUCAGAUAGCAAAAUGUUGGCAAAUAGAGUCCAAAGAAAAAAAUAAAAAAUAAAAAAAAAAAGACACAAAAAUGUAUGUGUGUGGUACAAGCUAUAUAUUGUUUGUUUUUAGAUAUGAAAUUUAAAAAAUGGAAUAAAAAUGCUUAUGUAAAAAAAGUUUUGAACCUAGGGGCUUUUGUCCUAGAGGGCUAAUGUCCGUACCCCGCAAUCUAGACGAAGUGCAUAUGUCCAAGAAUGUUAACAACUGUCUUAACUAAAAUUUGAUGGGGGGGGGGCAUAUUAGGAGUGUAGUACAUUAGCCCUCUGGGACAUUAGCCCCUUGGACAUUAGCCCCUUUGGACAUUAGCCCCCUAGGACAUUUGCCCCUUAGCACAUUAGCCCCUACCUACUUUUACAUUCAUUUUUUAGGUAUUUAAUUUCAUCUUUUUUUUAAAUUAAUGGAAUUAAUGGGUUAUUUUUUUUUUAAACAGCAACAACAACACAAUAUGUUACUUAUGUAUCUUAUUGUAAGAUAAUUUUAGACUUCUGGAUGGUGUCAGAUAGCAAAAUUUUGCAAAAUAAAUAGAGUUCGAAGAAAAAAUAGUAAAGAAAUUGUAAAAAAAAAACACUAAAAUGUACGCGUGUGGUACAAGCUAUAUAUUGUUUGUAUGAACAUAUGAAAUUUAAAAAUAUGGCAUAAAAAUGCUGACUUAAAAUAAAAAAAGGUUUUGAAAAUUUUACAUGUAAAACACCUUGGGGCUUAUGUCCUAGUGUGCACUUUUUUGAAGGGGCUUUUGUCCUAGGGGCUUUUGUCCUAGGGGCUAAUGUCCUAGAGGUUAAUGUCCAAGAGGGCUAAUGUCCGUACCCCGCAUAUUAGACAUUAGCAACGAACAGCACAAAAACACUUGACACAAGUUAUGGAGCAUCCCGGGGAAUUUACUGGAUUAAAGCAAUUUGAGGGUUAAGGGAAAGUGUUCAGCUUGAAACGUCACAUUUGACUCUAUUAUACAUGAACAAGUCAUUAGAAUAUAUUACUAUUGCUAAAAUUGCUUAAUGUUAUAAUUGUGCAUGUUCAAUAUGUCUGGUGCAUUACAAAUAGUGUCUAGUUUAUUUUCUACAUUGUCAGAUACAAGUUUAAAUAGGCAACAUAAGUUUUUAAGAUUUAAUUAAUAAAUAACAACACAACUGUUACAUAUUUUAGGAAACAAUGGUUAUUUUUUUACUAUACUAAAAGUCCAGUACUUUAAAGGGAUCUUUUCACACUUUGGUAAAUUGACAAAAUUGAAAAAAGUUGUUUCAGAUUCGAACAUUUUCGUUUUAGUUGUGAUAUUUGUGAGGAAACAGUAAUACUGAACAUUUACCAUGCUCUAAUAUAGCCAUUAUAUGCAUCUUUUGACGAUUUUAAAACCUAAAAAUUAUAAAGCGUUGCAACGCGAAACGAUUGAAUAAUGUGGAGAGUUCUGUUUUUGUCGUUAAAUUUUGUGAAACUACGAAGAUUGCUUAUAUAACGUAUAAAAUACAUCCGGAAUGUGUACUCGGCGGAAUAGCUCAGUAGGCUAAAGCGUUUUUACUUCAGGACUCUGGCAGGACUCCAGGGGUGACUGGUUCGAAACCUGCUCCGGGCAAUGUUCUUUUCCUUUUUUAAAUUUUAUUCUUGAUCUUUUACUGGAGCUUUUACGAUCCAAUGUUUACAUUUAUUAAUAUAAAGCAUUUAAUGAAUAAGUUAAAAAAAUGCCAAAAUCUGUGAAAAGGCCCCUUUAAAUUCGAAAUGACAUGGUCAGCAAUGUAAAAAUGAUGCAGAUGAACACUACAUAAAUUGGCAUGUUAACAAGUUCACUUGAUACUUCACAUGUGCAUUGGCCUUGUACCAAUUUUAUGACUUGAUUUAGGUUUUAAGAUUGCAUUGUGAUAUUUUAUACUGCAUACAAAUUAUUAUGCCCCCUUCGAAGAAGAGGGGGUAUAUUGCUUUGCUCAUGUAGGUCUGUCGGUCCGUCGGUCUGUCGGUCCGUCCACCAGGUGGUUGUCAGACGAUAACUCAAGAACGCUUGGGCCUAGGAUCAUGAAACUUCAUAGGUACAUUGAUCAUGACUCGCAGAUGACCCCUAUUGAUUUUGAGGUCACUAGGUCAAAGGUCAAGGUCACGGUGACCCAAAAUAGUAAAAUGGUUUCCGGAUGAUAACUCAAGAACGCUUAGGCCUAGGAUCAUGAAACUUGAUUGGUAGAUUGAUCAUGACUCGCAGAUGACCCCUAUUGAUUUUCAGGUCACUAGGUCAAAGGUCAAGGUCACAGUGACCCGAAAUAGUAAAAUGGUUUCCGGAUGAUAACUCAAGAACGCUUAGGCCUAGGAUCAUGAAUCUUGAUAGGUAGAUUGAUCAGGACUCGCAGAUGACCCCUAUUGAUUUUGAGGUCACUAGGUCAAAGGUCAAGGUCACAGUGACCCGAAAUAGUAAAAUGGUUUCCGGAUGAUAACUCAAGAACGCUUAGGCCUAGGAUCAUGAAACUUGAUAGGUAGAUUGAUCAUGACUCGCAGAUGACCCCUAUUGAUUUUCAGGUCACUAGGUCAAAGGUCAAGGUCACGAUGACCUGAAAUAGUAAAAUGGUUUCCGGAUGAUAACUGAAGAACGCUUAUUCCUAGGAUCAUGAAACUUGAUAGGUAGAAUGAUCAUGACUCGCAGAUGACCCCUAUUGAUUUUCAGGUCACUAGGUCAAAGGUCAAGGUCACGGUGACCCGAAAUAGUAAAAUGGUGUCCGGAUGAUAACUCAAGAAUGCUUAUGGCUAGUAUCAUGAAACUUCAUAGGUACAUUGAUCAUGACUGGCAGAUGACCUCUAUUGAUUUUCCGGUCACUAGGUCAAAGGUCAAGGUCACAGUGACAAAAAACAUAUUCACACAAUGGCUCUCACUACAACAGAGAGCCCAUAUGGGGGGCAUGCAUGUUUUACAAACAGCCCUUGUGUUAAUGUUAUGUCUUGGAAUGAAAUUAAUGUUACUUGAUGUUAAUAAAGAAGUCAUUAUGA